CCAGAAGCUCCUGUAUCGUGAUCCAGUUGUCCAGGAUCCUGCGACUGCGCUUCUUCACGCGACUGCGGUGGCACAGCUCCAGGACGGAGGCGGUAUCUAUGGCUUCAGUGCUUCUGACCAGAAGGCCCAGCACUCGAGGAUCAGAGAAAGGAUGGAAGCAGCUCCGUGGUCCUGAGUGACGGCGAUGCCGUUUCGGGCUCACCGGACCACAAUACAUCACUGCUCCAACACCUCGAAAUAUCUUCUUUCCCGACACGACCACCAGCUCUCACACGAUGGAUGUGCAUGCAACGUGAUGAACUGCUCUGCAUGCACCAAACCGUGAACCCAUCUCCUGCCAUCCCUGUUGGCUCCACUCAUGGCCACGCCCGUCUGGACGCCACGUGCAGAUACUCUGCUUGACGGAGCUGAAGUGUUUCUUAGAAGACGGCUGUGUGGCGACACAGUUGACCUCACGUUGCCAGAUCACUGGAAUUAUUAGAUGUCCACUCUCAAAGUCGUUAACCUGCAUGCGGUCGGCGUCAUUACUUCUGACCCCUGUUAGAUAAGGUCAGUGAUUUAUGGAAUGCUUUGUGAAGUCAUUUCAGCCUUCUUUUCCUCUUUGCUCCGAAAUCUAUUCCUCUCAGGGAAAAUGGCAGGAAAAGAAUAAAUGGUUAAAAUAGGCAGAUUAGAGAGGGAAGGAGGUCAGACCGUUUAAUUUCAUCCCCCUUUGACUCAUUAUCAUGCCUGUAUUUGGACUCUGUCUCCCUCCAUGUUUUUCUUUCUCUUGGCAUUGCCUCUGGCACCAGAUGCGGCCCAGUUAACUGGCCCGGAGCCCGACUCCAGCAUGCCAGGGACCCAGCUGAGGCUUCUGAUGCUACAGAUACGGAAAGUGUUGCUCUGCAUACCCACGAGUGCUGAGGAUUUGUCGUGCUUCGUAAGCAUGGGACUUAUUUUGGUCACUGCAUGUAUCACAGAGUCACUGAGCAGCAGCAGCUUCCUUAGGCAGCCAGAUGCACUUACUCACAUACAGUCCGUGGUCCCAGUUGGCAGGUGGUGCUCAGGCUGUAACCGUGGCAACCCCUCUUUCUCAUAACACAGCAGGACUCUACUUUCCUCACGCCAGCGACUCGCUCUACGCAGUUUACCGCUGCUCUCUCCGAUCGUAAUCAUUGUAAUCGGAGUGAAAUAUCAUUAUCAUAAUUAUCUGUAUUAUUGUCACUGAUUUACUAUUUCCAUAAAUAGCCUUGCUCAUCAUCAUUUCCACCGAUUUCAUUUUUUGGCUAAUUUAUUUACUUAAAAUCUACACAAAAGGCCAACAAGUUCAUCUAAAAGUGAGAUGUGUCACAUGAUCUGUAGCUUAUAUUAAAUGAAUCAGUCCUGUUCAAUGCAGUCACAGUUUAAUUCACCGAAUUAAUUGUAUUAAUUGUUCAAUGUUAUGUGAUUAUCAUAGCCCAGUGAGUGUUAUAAUGGUGCUAAUGUUUCAUUUUUACUCGUUCAUAAAUGACCUGAUGUUACUAUCUUUGACAUUACCAUGAAUCCAAAUAAUUGUGGUUAGAUGCAAAAUGUAUAAUUGGUUUUAAACUGGUUGUUGGGAAUACGUAAAUGAUGUGGGUUCAUUGAGUGUCAACGUGAUGAGCUUCUGUUGAUUUUUUUACUGCAGACAUUUUUGUCUGAGCUGUUUUGAUUUUCACUCAUCCAGCAGCAUCGCUGUAAGAAAGAUUAAGAAAGAAUAACAAUGACAACUUUAAGGAGACACAAAGGAAAAAAAGAAGAAGAAAAAAAGAGAGAGAGAGAGAGGACUGAGUGCUCACCUGGAACAUGACCCUGUAUUGUUCCUCAGGCUUUUGAACCAUGCACAUGUUGCACCCCAUAGUGACUU